rnacentral:rRNA from 1 species
CCCUUAGAUGUUCUGGGCCGCACGCGCGCUACACUGAUGAAUUCAACGAGCACUAACCUGUGCCGAAAGGUUCGGGUAAUCUUGUGAAAUUUCAUCGUGAUGGGGAUUGAUUAUUGCAAUUUUUAAUCAUAAACGAGGAAUGCCUAGUAAGCGUGAGUCAUCAGCUCACGUUGAUUACGUCCCUGCCCUUUGUACACACCGCCCGUCGCUCCUACCGAUUGAAUGUGCCAGUGAAAAGUUCGGAUUGGGCGUGGGAGACGGCAACGUAUCCCACAUCCGAGAAAAUCUUUAAACUUUCCCAUUUAGAGGAAGGAGAAGUCGUAACA